rnacentral:lncRNA from 1 species
UGAUGUUUUUCAUGAAUGACGUUGUGGAUUCGGCGUGAUUGAAGGCGGUUCGUCGAUUCGGAUCGUGGGCUCGUGGAUUCGAGUGGCGUUUGUGGAUUCGGACGUGUGCGAGGCGUUUGUGGAUUCGAACAUGAGGGCGUGGACAACCCGGAGGAUUGCGCGAGAUUCUUAAGAGGUUAAGAGAGGUCGAGUCCGUGGAGGCGGUAAUCA